rnacentral:piRNA from 1 species
UUGGAAUCUAGCUGUUAGUGGGUUUAGGA